rnacentral:rRNA from 1 species
UACGUAGGAUGCAAGCGUUGUUCGGAAUUACUGGGCGUAAAGAGUACGUAGGCGGUUUGAUAAGUCUGCUGUUAAAGACUGGAGCUUAACUCCAGGACUGUAGUGGAAACUGUCAGACUAGAGGACAAUAGAGGAAGUCGGAAUUCUCAGUGUAGCGGUGAAAUGCGUAGAUAUUGGGAAGAACACCAGUGGCGAAAGCGGACUUCUGGGUUGUUACUGACGCUGAGGUACGAAAGCGUGGGGAGCAAACGGG